GCCAAACAGCUAGCUUAAUUACCAGAACUAACCAAACAACAUAAAUAGAAUAAAACUAACUUAGACCAAUAAAUUAAACCAUUUUUCCACCAUAGUACGGGAGACGGAAAAGGCCCCCCACAAGCAAUAGAAAAAGUACCGUAAGGGAAAGCUGAAAGAGUAGUGAAACAACCCAUAUAAGCGCAAAAAAGCAAAGCCUAAGCCUUGUACCUUUUGCAUCAUGAUUUAGCCAGUACCCAACAAGCAAAGAGAUCUUUAGUUUGAAGCCCCGAAACCAAGUGAGCUACCCCGGGACAGCCUAAUAGGGCCAACCCGUCUCUGUGGCAAAAGAGUGGGAAGAGCCCCGGGUAGAGGUGACAGACCUACCGAGCUUGGUGAUAGCUGGUUGCCUAAGAAAUGAAUAGAAGUUCAGCCUCGUACCCCUUAGCUCAAUUAAGAAAUAUCUGAUCAAGCACACAAGAAAAAUACGAGAGUUAGUUAAAGGGGGUACAGCCCCUUUAACCAAGGACACAACCUUAACAGGAGGAUAAGGAUCACACUUUUCAAAACCAGUCGUCCCAGUGGGCCUAAAAGCAGCCAUCUGACCAGAAAGCGUUAAAGCUCAAGCGACACAAGAUUUAUUAUUCUGAUAAAUAAUCCAACUCCCCUAAUUCUACUAGGCCAUUCCAUGCCAACAUGGAAAGAGGACCAUGCUAAAAUGAGUAACAAAGAGGACUAAACUCUCUCCAAAGCACAAGUGUAAACCCAGACCGGAACAAGCCACUGGAAAUUAACGAGCCCCAAAAAAAGAGUGUAAUGUGAAGCACAAAAAAGCCAAGAAAGUCUCACAGCGCAGAAUCGUUAACCUCACACUAGAGUGUCACCAAGGAAAGACUAAAAGAGAGGGAAGGAAACUCGGCAAACAUAAGCCUCGCCUGUUUACCAAAAACAUCGCCUCCUGCAAACCCCCACGUAUAGGAGGUCCAGCCUGCCCAGUGACUACAAGUUCAACGGCCGCGGUAUUUUGACCGUGCAAAGGUAGCGCAAUCACUUGUCUUUUAAAUGAAGACCUGUAUGAAUGGCCAAACGAGGGCUUAGCUGUCUCCCCCAUCAAGUCAGUGAAAUUGAUCUAUCCGGGCAGAAGCGGGUAUCAAUAUACAAGACGAGAAGACCCUUUGGAGCUUAAGGUACAAAUCCACCUACGUUAAACAGCCUCCUAAGUAGGCGCAAACCUAAUAGAAUAUGGAAUUUUUACCUUCGGUUGGGGCGACCAUGGAGAACAAGAAAUCCUCCAAGUGGACUGGGAACUUCCCUAAAACCAAGAAAGACAUUUCCAAGUCACAGAAAAUCUGACCAAGUAUGAUCCGGCCGCCCAGGCCGAUCAACGAACCAAGUUACCCUAGGGAUAACAGCGCAAUCCCCUCCAAGAGUCCAUAUCGACGAGAGGGUUUACGACCUCGAUGUUGGAUCAGGACAUCCUAAUGGUGCAGCCGCUAUUAAGGGUUCGUUUGUUCAACGAUUAAAGUCCUACGUGAUCUGAGUUCAGACCGGAGCAAUCCAGGUCAGUUUCUAUCUGUAAUGUCAUUUUUCCUAGUACGAAAGGACCGGAAAAAAGAGGCCCAUGCUGAAAGUACGCCUCACCCCUAAUUAAUGAAAGCAACUAAAUUAAAUAAAGGGCGGACUCAAAAAACGCCUAAAUAAGGCCAC
rnacentral:rRNA from 1 species